AGCAGACAAAGCUGCACACGCUCGGAUCUAGAAGCAUGGCCCAGACGGCGGAUAUCAUUGCAAAAAAGAAAGGCAAGCAACUAGAGAGAAGUGAGAUGUACGCAGUGGCGUAUUCUCACUGCGAUGGUGUUGCUGUGAAUGCCACUGCGGAAGCGAACAUUGCAAAGAUGAAACAUCUUAUGACAGAGGGGUCACAGUUGCGGGGAAAUGACAUUGAGGCAGGCAUACUUUGGCAGCCCGACGAUGCAUUUGCAUAGGUCCUCGCUGCAGAGAGAAGUGGUCGUGUUAGAGGGGUAGGCUUUGGUCCAACCCCCUCUAGAAAUCGUGCGAGGUCAAUGGAUGAUAGUACGCCACCUCCAACAUCUACUGUGACUGAACAAAAGGUUAUCGAGUUGUCUGCUGAAGUAGAAGAAAUGAAAGAGAAAUGCGCGCAUUAUGAUGCUGAAAUGAGGUUAAUGCAGAGGAUGUUGACUUCACUGUACCCAUCGUUUCCCAGUCUGUCUACGGAUGGUGAUGGUGAUUCUGCAGUGGAUAUCCAGUCUCCCGGUGCUCAACACUUAUCAUUUGAUGAUACGCAAUAGGCGAUACUUUUGGCACCUAUUUUGGAGUAGUUAUUAUGAUAUUUUGAUAUUUAUAAUAAAGUUUCAAACUUUGAUACAUAUGUACACAUCAUAGUUGGAAACUUUAUUAUAAUAUUCUAGACAAUUAGAAUGUAUUCUUUUAUGCAAAACAUUCUAUAUAGUUAAAAUGUAUUCUUUUGUGUAGGACAUUGUACAUAGUUGUUUAGAAUGUAUUAUUUUGUUCAUAACAUUCUAGACACUUGGAAUGUAUUAUUUUGUGUAUAAAAUUCUAGAC